rnacentral:sRNA from 1 species
GUGCUGCGGAGCCAAAUUUGAAGCAAGCGGAGGCGCGGGGGCGCGUCUACGAAGCCGGACCUGUAGCAGUUUCUUUGGCUGCCUGGGCCCCUUGAGUCCAGCCAUCAUGCCUAUCCGUGCUCUGUGCACUAUCUGCUCCGACUUCUUCGAUCACUCCCGCGACGUGGCCGCCAUCCACUGCGGCCACACCUUCCACUUGCAGUGCCUAAUUCAGUGGUUUGAGACAGCACCAAGUCGGACCUGCCCACAGUGCCGAAUCCAGGAGGAGGAGAAUGUCUUGGAUGCAGAAUUCUUAAAGAAUGAACUGGACAAUAUCAGAGCCCAGCUUUCCCAGAAAGACAAGGAGAAACGAGACAGCCAGGUCAUCAUCGACACUCUGCGGGAUACGCUGGAAGAACGCAAUGCUACUGUGGUAUCUCUGCAGCAGGCCUUGGGCAAGGCCGAGAUGCUGUGCUCCACACUGAAAGUAGGUCCUCAGGUUUUAUGGGUACAGAAUUCAUAGGGAGGUAUUGCCCCAGAGCUGGACUCCCCAUUCUGGGCUUAUCUUCUGG